UACGUAGGGUCCAAGCGUUAUCCGGAAUUACUGGGCGUAAAGGGCUCGUAGGCGGCCAACUAAGUCAUACGUGAAAUCCCUCAGCUUAACUGGGGAACUGCGUGUGAUACUGGAUGGCUUGGAUUUGGGAGAGGGAUGCGGAAUUCCAGGUGUAGCGGUGAAAUGCGUAGAUAUCUGGAGGAACACCGGUGGCGAAGGCGGCAUCCUGGACCAAUAUUGACGCUGAGGAGCGAAAGCCAGGGGAGCAAACGGG
rnacentral:rRNA from 1 species